UAGGGAAUCUUCGGCAAUGGACGAAAGUCUGACCGAGCAACGCCGCGUGAGUGAAGAAGGUUUUCGGAUCGUAAAACUCUGUUGUUAGAGAAGAACAAGGAUGAGAAGAGAAUGUUCAUCCCUUGACGGUAUCUAACCAGAAAGCCACGGCUAACUACGUGCCAGCAGCCGCGGUAAUACGUAGGUGGCAAGCGUUGUCCGGAUUUAUUGGGCGUAAAGCGAGCGCAGGCGGUUCUUUAAGUCUGAUGUGAAAGCCCCCGGCUCAACCGGGGAGGGUCAUUGGAAACUGGGGAACU
rnacentral:rRNA from 1 species